rnacentral:rRNA from 1 species
UACGGGGGGAGCAAGCGUUGUUCGGAUUUACUGGGCGUAAAGGGCGCGUAGGCGGUCAGCACAAGUCAGUUGUGAAAUCUCCGAGCUUAACUCGGAAAGGUCAACUGAUACUGUGCGACUAGAGUGCAGAAGGGGCAACUGGAAUUCUCGGUGUAGCGGUGAAAUGCGUAGAUAUCGAGAGGAACACCUGAGGUGAAGACGGGUUGCUGGGCCAACACUGACGCUGAGGCGCGAAAGCCAGGGGAGCAAACGGG